rnacentral:tRNA from 6 species
CGGAGUGUAGCGCAGCCCGGUAGCGCACUUGUCUGGGGGACAAGGGGUCGUGGGUUCAAAUCCCGCCACUCCGACCA